GGCCAAGUUCCCAGAUAAAAAUGAGCAGAAGAGAGAGAGGAAACUUCUGGGUCACGCUUGUCAAAGAAAAAGGCAUUUCUUCCGUUCCACUUCCUCUUCCCACCCUGCUGCUGGAAUUCUGAUGUGCUCGUGUCCAUCUUCAACCACACAGGUGAAGGAUCUAAAACCUGAAAAGAGGCCAAAUGAUUCCUCAAAACCACGCAAGUACGAAGUAGCAGAGCGGAUCUCAAAUCCAGGUUGGUUUCCUUUUUACAACUGCCCAAGUCAUGAGUUCAUAGGGCCUGGAUGGCUGUACCGGAUUGCUCUCCAGCUGGUCUCUCUGCAUCCAGAAAUUUCUACAACCUACUGGGGUAAAAUCUUUCUCAACCCUGCUUUUCAUCAUCACAUCUUAAAUAUCUCGAGUUGGUUCCCUAUUGCCAAAAAAAAUCCAUUGUCCAUGUAGGGUUCUUCUGCCGAAACGAGGAAAGAGUGAGUUAAAUGUUGGUAGGUGAUAUAGAGAUAGUAAUUAGGCAAUAUAAUUCGAUGUUGUUGAAAGAGCUGAGCUAUGAAAUGCAUUGUGAUAAAGGGGCUGCCUGUGUAAGUAAAUGGGUAUAAUGAGGUGUAAAACUCCCUUUCUCUCUCUCUUUCUGCUUCAUAAGCCUUUCUGCUUCUCAAGUCCAGACCUGCUGUUUUUGGGGUUUCCUUCCAAUUUUUUUGCUGCUUCCCUGGGGCCUUGGCUCUUGGGCCUGCUGCCUCUUCCCACUCUACACCUUUGGAUUCCUUAUCUUUGGCUCCACCUUAUUGCUCCAUUCUCCAAAGACAAAUCCACAAGGCAUAGGAUUUUACAGAAUAUGGGGUUACAGAAACAGCAUAGGGAAGUGUAAAAGCCUAGAAGCUUCUUACAGACGCAGCCCCUUGUCUGUAGCUCCUGACUCCCACUUAAAUGUCUGUUGGAAGCACCCUGGGGUAGCAGAACCCAGCUCAGAAGAUGGGGCUUAUCCACCAUGCCUUUUCCUAACCUGACACCCACCCAGAUAAUCUUUUCAAUAUGCAAACUAGAGCGUAUCACCCCCUGCUCAGAGCCUUUCUGUGACCUCCCAUUUUGCUUCCCAGGACUCCUUGCUCCUUAGCCAGGUCUCCAGGUCCUCCGUGAUCAGGUCUCUGCUCUUCUGCAGCCUCAUCUCUGCCAUUCUUCACCUUUUGUGCUCCAACCCAAUCUGGUUUUCUUCUCAUGCUUUGAACACCCCAAGUCUGUCUGCUUCAGGAGCUUCGUACUGGCUAAUCAUUCACCACAGCAUACUCCCAUCUAUACGGCUGGCUCUUAUAUUAUGGGUCUCAGCUAAAAUGUCAUCCCUUCAAAGAGACCUUCUUGGACCACCCCCGCCAUUCUCUAUCCUAUUUCUCUCUUUUAUUUUCUUUGAAGCACUUACCCACUUUCAGAAACUAUCUGGCUUGCUCAUGUGUUUGUCUCUAGAUUGUCUACUUCCCCUCCUAGACUGUACUCUCCACAAGAGAGCAAAGCUGUGUCUGUUGCAUUCACUGUUGUCUUCCCAGAAGCAAGCAGCAUGCUGGAGACCCUCAAAUACAUGUGAAAUGAAGGGACACCUUGUGUUAUUUCACCUGUUUCCACCUGGUUCCCAAGUGGCAAGCUUGCAUUGAGGUUACAAAGUGGCAAAGCUGGGAUAUCACAUGAUGUCACCAUGAUGCUAUAUGAAAUGUAACAUUAAUUGAGUACCUAUGUGACCAGUUCUUUAAUUCUGUAAGUGAACUCUCAAAAAACCCUAGGUAAGUAUUAUCAACUCGAACUUUAACGGAUGAGGAAACUGGAAUUUUUUAAAAAAUGACUUAACCAAACAUCACAGAGCUGUAAACCAGGAUUUGAAUGGGUGAGCUGCACUCAGCCUUCAUCUCAAGUCAGUUUGCCUCUUUCUCCAAGAAGCCACAGUUGAUCCUGACCACAUCACAUAUGAGUUGCCUGGAUUGCAGUCAUUCAUUCACUAAGCAUCUUUUAGGAGGUCACAUGCCAGGCACCGUGUUAGGUAAUGAUUUCUCCAAGUCACAGGAGCCGUGGUUCUGACUUUAGAAAGUUUCUCAUCUGAUGGGAGGGCAGGCAAGUAAAUCAGUAAGGGUGGUCCCUGUCGGGACACUGGUUGAGAAAUACCCAGGAACACUCUGAUUGAGAAAUACCCAAAGUGCAAAGUGACAGGGACUAGAGGCAUCUCCACUGGACCAGAGAGCUCUGGAUUCGUCUUGAGCUAAGUCUCUGGAGGUAGGUGUCAGCUACAAGGAGAAAAGCUGUAUAUUUUGAGAUAUGGGAUGCAGGGCCUUUUAGUUCCAUAAAUAAGAGAACUAUGGUGUGAAUACCACAUGCCCUGGGCUGAACUAAGUGGGCUCUAGGGGAAGGUAUACUGGGCAGGGAGUUUGGAGAACUGGUUUCUGUCUAAUCCUUCUCUAACUCUGUGACCUUGAAUGCAUCAUUUCCCCUCUGAGUCUCAGAUUCUCUUUCUGGCUGGCAUUUAAUGAAACCUAAAUAUUCUAGACCUUCUACUUGUUCCAUAAGUGCUCAGUCCUACACUCACUCUCCUCUGGCACCAAUAUACUGAUUACUCAUUUUAUGCCCAGCAGAGCACUGCGUGUUUUGAAAUAUACAAAUAGUGGGAAACGAAAUCUUUGUUCUGGAUGCAGUUAUAAUUUGGAAAGCGAGGAAAUAAAUUAUAACAAGGGGAAAAAACAG
rnacentral:lncRNA from 1 species